AACGAACGCUGGCGGCAUGCCUAACACAUGCAAGUCGAACGAGACCUUCGGGUCUAGUGGCGCACGGGUGCGUAACGCGUGGGAACCUGCCCUUAGGUUCGGAAUAACUCCCCGAAAGGGGUGCUAAUACCGGAUAAUGUCUUCGGACCAAAGAUUUAUCGCCUUUGGAUGGGCCCGCGUUGGAUUAGCUUGUUGGUAGGGUAAAAGCCUACCAAGGCGACGAUCCAUAGCUGGUCUGAGAGGAUGAUCAGCCACACUGGGACUGAGACACGGCCCAGACUCCUACGGGAGGCAGCAGUGGGGGAUAUUGGACAAUGGGCGAGAGCCUGAUCCAGCAAUGCCGCGUGAGUGAUGAAGGCCUUAGAGUUGUAAAGCUGUUUUACCCGGGAUGAUAAUGACGGUACCGGGAGAAUAAGCACCGGCUAACUCCGUG
rnacentral:rRNA from 1 species